rnacentral:rRNA from 1 species
UACGGGGGGGGCAAGCGUUGUUCGGAAUUACUGGGCGUAAAGGGCUCGUAGGCGGCCAACUAAGUCGGAUGUGAAAUCCCCAGGCUUAACCUGGGAAUUGCAUCCGAUACUGGAUGGCUUGAAUCCGGGAGAGGGAUGCGGAAUUCCAGGUGUAGCGGUGAAAUGCGUAGAUAUCUGGAGGAACACCGGUGGCGAAGGCGGCAUUCUGGACCAUAACUGACACUGAGAGACGAAAGCCAGGGGAGCAAACGGG